rnacentral:rRNA from 1 species
GAUGAACGCUGGCGGCGUGCUUAACACAUGCAAGUCGAACGGUGAAGCAGGAGCUUGCUCCUGUGGAUCAGUGGCGAACGGGUGAGUAACACGUGAGCAAUCUGCCCUGGACUCUGGAUAAGCGUUGGAAACGACGUCUAAUACCGGAUACGAGGCGUGGGGGCAUCCCCAACGCCUGGAAAGAACUUCGGUCCAGGAUGAGCUCGCGGCCUAUCAGGUAGUUGGUGAGGUAACGGCUCACCACGCCUACGACGGGUAGCCGGCCUGGGAGGGUGACCGGCCACACUGGGACUGGGACACGGCGCAGACUCCUACGUGAGGCAGCAGUGGGGAAUAUUGCACAAUGGGCGCAAGCCUGAUGCAGCAACGCCGCGUGAGGGACGACGGCCUUCGGGUUGUAAACCUCUUUUAGCAGGGAAGAAGCGAAAGUGACGGUACCUGCAGAAAAAGCACCGGCUAACUACGUGCCAGCAGCCGCCGUAAAAC